AUACAUGGCCUCCUGGUGACACCUUGAUCAUGAAGGAGGUUUUCCCAGAGUGAGGCCCAUUGCACUCUGGCUGUGCCGACCCCUGCAAUUUCACCAAAUGUGGGACACUCGACUGCAUAUUUUGUGGUAGUGGGGGACAGCAUGCAAGUUUUCCCCUA
rnacentral:snRNA from 1 species